rnacentral:misc_RNA from 1 species
UUAAAGCAGAGAUAUUCAAAAAGUAAACAUGCUCCCUUUUUAGUUGAAUGCUACUGCACCAGUUGUGCCACUUCAAUAACUUUGCCAUAUGAAUGUCAAAAAAUCAAUUGCAGGGGCCAAAUUGUUCCACCCAAUUGGCUUAACAAGUUUAAAAAUAACAAUCAAGUUCAGAAUUCCCACAAGUUGGAAGAGACAAAAUAGGUCAGUGCACCACCACCACAAAGGCCGCUGGUGCCAUUGUUAUGAAAACAUGGAUGAUCAUCGAUAUUUUGUCAUUGGAACUCUUGGGAACACCAGAGCAGAAAAAUUGACGCAAAAGGGACAUUCACAAAAGGACAUUAGGAAAAUUAUUGAAAUUGUACAUGGAUAAAAUAACUGAAAAGCACCAGAGCUUCAAGUUAUUUAUGAAAUUGAUUGCCAUCAAAAUCUCUAGAGCAAUCGACUAGAAAAGGAAAUAUUUUGCACAAGCUAACUUUAUGACAAAGACGACAACCCUGUUACCAGGCGAAAUUUUCCAAUAAAAACGAUUGUCAGAAUUUAAUUUUAUUGAAGCACAAAAAUAGCUGAUUAAUAUUCUCAGCAAACAAGAA